rnacentral:rRNA from 1 species
UACGAAGGGGGCUAGCGUUGUUCGGAAUUACUGGGCGUAAAGCGCACGUAGGCGGACAUUUAAGUCAGGGGUGAAAUCCCGGGGCUCAACCCCGGAACUGCCUUUGAUACUGGGUGUCUAGAGUAUGGAAGAGGUGAGUGGAAUUCCGAGUGUAGAGGUGAAAUUCGUAGAUAUUCGGAGGAACACCAGUGGCGAAGGCGGUUCACUGGUCCAUUACUGACGCUGAGGUGCGAAAGCGUGGGGAGCAAACAGG